GCUUUAAUAAUUUAAUAAAAAUACUGGUCUUGUAAGCCAGCCAUGGCUAUGCCUUAAAGCA
rnacentral:tRNA from 1 species